CCUAACCUCUCUCAACCUUUCACGGCAACGCCACCGAUUCCAAUCCCCACUUAUCGAAGAAAAAAUGAGUAGACGCUCGAGCAGAACUGUCUACGUUGGGAACCUUCCUGGUGACAUCCGUGAAAGAGAAGUUGAAGAUUUAUUUCUGAAGUAUGGACACAUAACUCACAUAGAUCUAAAGGUUCCCCCAAGACCCCCCGGUUACGCAUUUGUAGAGUUUGAAGAUGCUCAAGACGCUGAGGAUGCAAUACGUGGACGUGAUGGCUAUGAUUUUGAUGGGCACCGGUUACGGGUGGAGCCUGCACAUGGUGGACGUGGUCAUUCAUCCUCAAGAGAUCGACACAGCAGUCACAGCAAUGGACGGGCUGGACGUGGGGUAUCCAGACGCUCUGAAUAUCGGGUUCUAGUCACUGGAUUGCCCUCUUCAGCAUCCUGGCAGGAUCUUAAGGAUCACAUGCGCAAGGCAGGAGAUGUUUGCUUUUCCCAGGUCUUUCAUGAUGGAAGGGGUACUACUGGUAUUGUGGAUUACACAAAUUAUGAUGAUAUGAAAUAUGCUAUCAAGAAGCUUGAUGACUCUGAGUUUCGGAAUGCAUUUUCCAAGGGUUAUGUUCGAGUGAGGGAAUAUGAUUCAAGACGGGAUUCAUCUAGAAGUCCUAGCCGGGGCCCAUCUCAUUCUAGAGGAAGAAGCUAUAGCCGAAGCCGUAGUUACAGUCGGGACCGGAGCCAAAGCAAAUCUCCAAAGGGUAAAUCAUCACAGCGUUCACCACCUGCUAAAUCUCCAUCAAGAUCUCCUGCUGCCCGGUCUCGUUCAAGAUCAAAGUCUCGUUCGUUGUCAGGGUAUGAAAUGUUUUGAAAGUGCAGAUUUUUUGACGAAUACUAAUUGUCUGGCUACUUUUAUUUCCAAGUAUUAUUUUAUUCAUAAAUUAUUUGGUAUCUCGAUGGAAGAGAUGAAAAGACCAGAAGAGGCAUUUUAAUGACUGCACACUGCUAACUUAGGGAUUUUUUUUUUGGAAUUUUUGAUAAUGAUUAGAAUAGGAAUAAAUAGAGAUCAUUUGGAAUUUAUUAAAUUAAAUUCACGUGCACGAUAUGGCAAAUUUCUUGCAUGAAUAAAAUUAAUUUCAUUUUGAUUUGUCCUUGUGAAGUCAGUUGUUUCAGUCUGUUGUUUGUUUUCUUCGGAAUAAAAAACUGGGACUUGUUUCUUUUAACACCUUUCAUUAAAAUUGAAAGUCAUAGAGAAUCUUCUUGUAAAUAAAUUAUUUAUUAUUUCUUCUCUAAGAAAUUCAGAUUUAAAAUUUUAAUUUUUCUGACACAAAACUGUUGUCCCCUUCACAUUCCCUCCCUCAGUCAAUUUUCCCCUAUCUUGCUUUGUCCGGAACUUGGUGAAACUUGCCUCAAUGUCAGAGUGUUCUCAGUUUCCUUUUUGCU